rnacentral:misc_RNA from 1 species
AAGUCGUAACAAGGUUUCCGUAGGUGAACCUGCGGAAGGAUCAUUAACGAGUUAGGGUCCCUCGCGGCCCGACCUCCCAACCCUUUGUCUACCUGACCACUGUUGCUUCGGCGAGCCCGUCUGUAAUGGACCGCCGGGGGGUACCUUGAUCGGCCCUCUGGUCCGCGCUCGUCGAUAGCCAAACUUUUAAAAUCUUAACCAAACGUGUCUCAAUCUAAGUAUUAUUUGUUAAAUAAAAUCAAAACUUUCAACAACGGAUCUCUUGGCUCUG